rnacentral:rRNA from 1 species
AUGCCAACUCUAGCUCAGCCAAGCACUUUAACUCAUCAAAUUUCCACACAAGAUUAUUAAAACAUUUUUUCUCCUCUUAGUAUAGGCGAUAGAAAAGUCACCAGACGCAAUAGAGACCUUGUACCGUAAGGGAAAGUUGAAAUAAUAAUGAAAUACUGAGCAUAAAACAGCAAAGAUUAAUCCUUGUACCUUUUGCAUCAUGAUCUAGCGAGAACAAUCAAGCACAGCGAACUUUAGCUUGCCUCCCCGAAACCCAUGCGAGCUACUUGCAAGCAGCUACUAUGAGCUAACCCGUCCCUGUGGCAAAAGAGUGGGAAGACUUGCUAGUAGAGGUGAAAAGCCAAUCGAGCUGGGUGAUAGCUGGUUACCCACAAAAUGAAUAUAAGUUCACCCCUAAACCUCCCUACAGGCCCACACCGUGCUAACCUGAAUGAGAAAGUUUAGGAGCUAUUUAAAGGAGGUACAGCUCCUUUAAAUUAGGAUCCAACCUAUGCUAGAGGGUAAUCCAACCAUUUUCAUACAUGUUGGCCUUCAAGCAGUCAUCAACUAAGAGUGCGUCAAAGCUCCCUACAAAAAAUCCAAAAACACUACGAACCCCUCAACUUUUAGUGGGUCAACCUAUGAUUAUAGGAGAAUUUAUGCUAGAAUGAGUAAUUUGAAGAUUCACCCCUACCACUUCUCUAGGCGCAAGCUUACACACUAGUUUAUUAACAGCCCAACUUAUAUAGCCACCACACAAGACUAAAUAUUUGACCAGCCUGUUACCCCAACUCCGGAGCGCCUGCCAGAGAGAUUAAAAUCUGCAAAAGGAACUCGGCAAAUCCAAGGCCCGACUGUUUACCAAAAACAUAGCCUUCAGCCGGCACAAGUAUUGAAGGUGAGGCCUGCCCGGUGACCAAAGUUUAACGGCCGCGGUAUCCUAACCGUGCGAAGGUAGCGCAAUCAAUUGUCUCAUAAAUCGAGACUUGUAUGAAUGGCAAAACGAGGCCUCAACUGUCUCUUGCAGAUAAUCAAUGAAAUUGAUCUUCCUGUGCAAAAGCAGGAAUCACGACACAAGACGAGAAGACCCUGUGGAACUUAAAAAUUUCAGGUCAAUACAACACUCUCUCAGCCAACAUGGCUCACCCUUAUGUACCUUAUCUGACCUUAAUUUUUCGGUUGGGGCGACCUUGGAGAACAAACAAACCUCCAAAAACAAGACCAUAACAUCUUAACCUAGAACCUACAUCUCAAAGUACUAACAGUAACCAGACCCAAUAUAAUUGAUUAAUGGACCAAGCUACCCCAGGGAUAACAGCGCAAUCUCCUUCAAGAGCCCCUAUCGACAAGGAGGUUUACGACCUCGAUGUUGGAUCAGGACAUCCUAAUGGUGCAGCCGCUAUUAAGGGUUCGUUUGUUCAACGAUUAACAGUCCUACGUGAUCUGAGUUCAGACCGGAGCAAUCCAGGUCGGUUUCUAUCUAUGCAUUACUGCCCCCAGUACGAAAGGACCGGGGCAGUGAGGCCAAUAUAAAUCACACGCCUCCGCCCUAAUUAGUGAAACCAACUUAACUAACAAGAGCACUCCAAACUACCCCACAUCCUAGACAAGGAUAG